rnacentral:lncRNA from 12 species
UGCCCGUGGGUCCCUCAGGGCCGCGGGAUUUUCCUGUCGCCGAUCCGCGGUGGCUGAGGACGGGAUCCCGUUCUGCCAGUGCAAAGCAGCCCAGAGAGUGAUUCCUGAGCCGUCCUGCUCUGCCAGCACCGCUGAUAACCCGGGAAGAGACGGGAUGAGCGCUGGAAGCGCUCCCUCCCCACCACGGCAGGACUGCCUCCCAG